CCCUCACUUGGGGUUCAAAUUUACCUGGGCAUGUUUGGUGGGGGAUGGAACCACACCGUAGGUGCAAUUGUGUUCCAGAGAGAGAGGCGACAAUGGAGAAGAAGGAAUACACCAUGCUAGGCUCAGACGUGGGGCCUUGGGUGGGAUGUAGGCAGUGGCUCUUUGCACGGGGUGUGGCUAUAACUGGGACCUCCAGGUGGUGGCUCAUGGUUGCACUGGGGAAGUAAACUAAUCUAGGCAUAAAAGUUGAUGAAGCUGUAGCACCAGGAGUCCAAGCUGUGAAGGAAGUUGAGUCCUUCCUCCGCCAGCAGCAGACUGUGAGCUGCAGAGUCAAAUAUUGAGUCCACAGUCUUUCUGUCAAUCAGAACU
rnacentral:lncRNA from 1 species